GACGAACGCUGGCGGCGUGCCUAAUACAUGCAAGUUGAGCGCUGAAGGUUGGUACUUGUACCAACUGGAUGAGCAGCGAACGGGUGAGUAACGCGUGGGGAAUCUGCCUUUGAGCGGGGGACAACAUUUGGAAACGAAUGCUAAUACCGCAUAAAAACUUUAAACACAAGUUCUAAGUUUGAAAGAUGCAAUUGCAUCACUCAAAGAUGAUCCCGCGUUGUAUUAGCUAGUUGGUGAGGUAAAGGCUCACCAAGGCGAUGAUACAUAGCCGACCUGAGAGGGUGAUCGGCCACAUUGGGACUGAGACACGGCCCAAACUCCUACGGGAGGCAGCAGUAGGGAAUCUUCGGCAAUGGACGAAAGUCUGACCGAGCAACGCCGCGUGAGUGAAGAAGGGUUUCGGAUCGUAAAACUCUGUUGGUAGAGAAGAACGUUGGUGAGAGUGGAAAGCUCAUCAAGUGACGGUAACUACCCAGAAAGGGACGGCUAACUACGUG
rnacentral:rRNA from 1 species